AGCGAACGCUGGCGGCAGGCUUAACACAUGCAAGUCGAGCGCCCCGCAAGGGGAGCGGCAGACGGGUGAGUAACACGUGGGAACGUACCUUUUGGUUCGGAACAACCCAGGGAAACUUGGGCUAAUACCGGAUAAGCCCUUACGGGGAAAGAUUUAUCGCCAAAAGAUCGGCCCGCGUCUGAUUAGCUAGUUGGUGGGGUAAUGGCCCACCAAGGCUACGAUCAGUAGCUGGUCUGAGAGGAUGAUCAGCCACACUGGGACUGAGACACGGCCCAGACUCCUACGGGAGGCAGCAGUGGGGAAUAUUGGACAAUGGGCGGAAGCCUGAUCCAGCAAUGCCGCGUGAGUGAUGAAGGCCUUAGGGUUGUAAAGCUCUUUCGCACGUGACGAUGAUGACGGUAACGUGAGAAGAAGCCCCGGCUAACUUCGUGCCAGCCGCCGCCGUAA
rnacentral:rRNA from 1 species